rfam:Gossypium hirsutum cultivar TM-1 chromosome 9, whole genome shotgun sequence
AGUUAAUUUUUUUAUCCAUGUUAUGUGUUAAAAACAGGUGUAGCUGAUGAAAUAACCAACAGUUACACAUGGUGUGCCACGUGCACCUCUUGUUGACGAACAGGGACCAGUUUUUAACAGUAAAAAUUGAUGAAAUUUUAAUA